CAGCUACUCCCUCCGUUCCAAAUUACUCGCCGUUGAAAUGGAUGUAUCUAGAACUAAAAUACAUCUAGAUACAUUCAUACGUGCGACAAGUAAUUCGGAACGGAGGUAGUACUUC
rfam:Triticum aestivum genome assembly, contig: Triticum_aestivum_CS42_TGACv1_scaffold_602844_7DL